rnacentral:rRNA from 1 species
AUUGAACGCUGGCGGCAGGCCUAACACAUGCAAGUCGAACGGUAACAGGAAGCAGCUUGCUGCUUUGCUGACGAGUGGCGGACGGGUGAGUAAUGUCUGGGAAACUGCCCGAUGGAGGGGGAUAACUACUGGAAACGGUAGUUAAUACCGCAUAACGUCGCAAGACCAAAGAGGGGGACCUUAGGGCCUCUUGUCAUCGGAUGUGCCCAGAUGGGAUUAGCUAGUAGGUGGGGUAACGGCUCACCUAGGCGACGAUCCCUAGCUGGUCUGAGAGGAUGACCAGCCACACUGGAACUGAGACACGGUCCAGACUCCUACGGGAGGCAGCAGUGGGGAAUAUUGCACAAUGGGCGCAAGCCUGAUGCAGCCAUGCCGCGUGUAUGAAGAAGGCCUUCGGGUUGUAAAGUACUUUCAGCGGGGAGGAAGGGAGUAAAGUUAAUACCUUUGCUCAUUGACGUUACCCGCAGAAGAAGCACCGGCUAACUCCGUG